UACGAAGGGGGCUAGCGUUGCUCGGAAUCACUGGGCGUAAAGGGUGCGUAGGCGGGUCUUUAAGUCAGGGGUGAAAUCCUGGAGCUCGACUCCAGAACUGCCUUUGAUACUGAAGAUCUUGAGUUCGGGAGAGGUGAGUGGAACUGCGAGUGUAGAGGUGAAAUUCGUAGAUAUUCGGAAGAACACCAGUGGCGAAGGCGACUUACUGGACACAUAUUGACGCUGAGGUGCGAAAGCGUGGGGAGCAAACAGG
rnacentral:rRNA from 1 species